rnacentral:rRNA from 1 species
CCUACGGGAGGCAGCAGUCGAGAAUCUUCCGCAAUGGGCGAAAGCCUGACGGAGCGACGCCGCGUGCAGGAUGAAGUGUUUAGGCAUGUAAACUGCUUUUAUAGGGGAGGAAGUCUAUUGACGUUACCCUAGGAAUAAGAGGUUGCUAAACUCGUGCCAGCAGCAGCGGUAAUACGAGUGCCUCGAGCGUUAUCCGAAAUUACUGGGCGUAAAGGGUGUGUAGGUGGUUGAAUUAGUCUUUUGUAGAAUCUUUUGGCUCAACCGAAAGUAUGCUUGAGAAACGGUUCAACUAGAGGGUGCGAGAGGUCUGUGGAACUCAUGGUGUAGGGGUGAAAUCCGUUGAUAUCAUGGGGAACACCUAAAGCGAAGGCAGCAGACUGGCGCAUUCCUGACAUUGAGACACGAAAGCGUAGGUAGCGAACGGGAUUAGAUACCCCGGUAGUCUACGCCCUAAACGAUGAUCUCUAGCUUUUCGGAGUAUCGACCCUCUGAGAGGCGUAGCUAACGCGUUAAGAGAUCCGCCUGGGUAGUACGGUCGCAAGACUAAAACUCAAAGGAAUUGACGGA